UGGAGACAGUCCACCUCUUGUGGCUUUUAG
rnacentral:piRNA from 1 species